GAUGAACGCUGGCGGCGUGCCUAAUACAUGCAAGUCGAGCGAACGGACGAGAAGCUUGCUUCUCUGAUGUUAGCGGCGGACGGGUGAGUAACACGUGGAUAACCCACCUAUAAGACUGGGAUAACUUCGGGAAACCGUAGCUAAUACCGGAUAAUAUUUUGAACCGCAUGGUUCAAAAGUGAAAGACGGUCUUGCUGUCACUUAUAGAUGGAUCCGCGCUGCAUUAGCUAGUUGGUAAGGUAACGGCUUACCAAGGCAACGAUGCAUAGCCGACCUGAGAGGGUGAUCGGCCACACUGGAACUGAGACACGGUCCAGACUCCUACGGGAGGCAGCAGUAGGGAAUCUUCCGCAAUGGGCGAAAGCCUGACUGAGCAACGCCGCGUGAGUGAUGAAGGUCUUCGGAUCGUAAAACUCUGUUAUUAGGGAAGAACAUAUGUGUAAGUAACUGUGCACAUCUUGACGGUACCUAAUCAGAAAGCCACGGCUAACUACGUG
rnacentral:rRNA from 1 species